UACGGAGGGGGCUAGCGUUGAUCGGAAUUACUGGGCGUAAAGCGCACGUAGGCGGCUUUGUAAGUUAGAGGUGAAAGCCCGGAGCUCAACUCCGGAAUUGCCUUUAAGACUGCAUCGCUAGAAUUGUGGAGAGGUGAGUGGAAUUCCGAGUGUAGAGGUGAAAUUCGUAGAUAUUCGGAAGAACACCAGUGGCGAAGGCGACUCACUGGACACAGAUUGACGCUGAGGCGCGAAAGCGUGGGGAGCAAACAGG
rnacentral:rRNA from 1 species